rnacentral:rRNA from 1 species
UUUGAGAUUCGAGACCUGUCCAGUCUCACGAGGCUACCUAGGAAUUCCCAUGGACGUGAGAUACUUACGGAUGCACGCUGCGCGUAGUGUAUGAGAGGCUUAACGCAUACGUAAUAACCUCUGUCUGUGCGGGGGAGAGAACAACGUGCCGCAGUAAGUGCUCGGUAUCCCUCGUCGGGUAGCGUGACCCAGAUAGUCCACGGCUAUUUACGGUGACAUGCAAGCCGCGCGGUAAUAGGUAUGGUGGGCAAGCGUUGUACUCGGAAAUUAUUGGGUCGUAAAGAGCGCGGCAGGGCGGCUCCCUAAAGUCCUGAUGGUGAAAGACCUUGGGUCAACUGGGGGAGGGGUCAUAGUAAUACUGGGGGAACUUGAGUGCAGAAGAGAAGGAGGAGGAAUUCUCACGUGUAGCGCUGAAAUGCGUAGAGAUGUGGAGGAACACCAGUGGCGAAGGGGACUCUUUGGUCUGUAUCUGACGCUGAGGCGCGAAAGCGUGGGGAGCAAACACGAUUAGAUACCCUGGUAGUCCACGCCGUAAACGAUGAGUGCUAAGUGUUAGAGGGUUUCCGCCCUUUAGUGUUGCAGCAAACGCACUAAGCACUCCGCCUGGGGAGUGCGGCCGCAAGGGUGAAACUCAAAGGAAUUGACGGGGGCCCGCACAAGCGGUGGAGCAUGUGUUUUAAUUUGAAGCAACGCGAAGAACCUUACCAGGUCUUGACAUCUCCUGACAACCCUAGAGAUAGGGCGUUCCCCUUCGGGGGACAGGAUGACAGGUGGUGCAUGGUUGUCGUCAGCUCGUGUCGUGAGAUGUUGGGUUAAGUCCCGCAACGAGCGCAACCCUUGAUCUUAGUUGCCAGCAUUCAGUUGGGCACUCUAAGGUGACUGCCGGUGACAAACCGGAGGAAGGUGGGGAUGACGUCAAAUCAUCAUGCCCCUUAUGACCUGGGCUACACACGUGCUACAAUGGAUGGUACAAAGGGGUGCAAGACCGCGAGGUUAAGCGAAUCCCAUAAAACCAUUCUCAGUUCGGAUUGCAGGGUGCAACUCGCCUGCAUGAAGCCGGAAUCGCUAGUAAUCGCGGAUCAGCAUGCCGCGGUGAAUACGUUCCCGGGCCUUGUACACACCGCCCCUCACACCACGAGAGUUUGUAACACCCGAAGUCGGUGGGGUAACCUUUUGGAGCCACCCGCCUUAAAGGUGGGGCACAAAUUGUUGG